UACGUAGGGGGCAAGCGUUGUCCGGAUUUAUUGGGCGUAAAGAGCGUGUAGGCGGCCAGGUAGGUCCGUUGUGAAAACUCGAGGCUCAACCUCGAGACGUCGGCGGAAACCCUCUGGCUAGAGUCCGGAAGAGGAGAGUGGAAUUCCUGGUGUAGCGGUGAAAUGCGCAGAUAUCAGGAGGAACACCGGUGGCGAAGGCGGAUCUCUGGGCCUUACCUGACGCUGAGGCGCGAAAGCUAGGGGAGCGAACAGG
rnacentral:rRNA from 1 species